UGUGAAUCUGAGGCUUGCCAGUAACAGAAGGAAGACACUGCCCAGGAGACAGGCAGAGGAAACACUAGAGCCAAGUACUGAAAGAACCCCAGUUGAAUGAAGCCAAGAUACAAGUGGUCCUGAGGCAGAACAAGAUUCUCUUUCUGAGGCUGAGCUCUGCAAUGGAAGUUCUUCACUUUUCUCUGGGGCUGACUAGCUCCACCAAUGAGACAUCAAGGCCACCACGGAAGACCCGCCCCUCUCUCACGACGGAUGCCUUUUCUGCCCAAUUAACUGCCCCAUUGCUUGUCCAUCGCUGCUGUCUUAUGUCAGGAGUGUUUUCUUUGUUGGUUUGAGAUUUUAGUC